GUAAACGGCGGCCGUAACUAUAACGGUCCUAAGGUAGCGAAAUUCCUUGUCGGGUAAGUUCCGACCUGCACGAAUGGCGUAAUGAUGGCCAGGCUGUCUCCACCCGAGACUCAGUGAAAUUGAACUCGCUGUGAAGAUGCAGUGUACCCGCGGCAAGACGGAAAGACCCCGUGAACCUUUACUAUAGCUUGACACUGAACAUUGAGCCUUGAUGUGUAGGAUAGGUGGGAGGCUUUGAAGCGUGGACGCCAGUCUGCGUGGAGCCAACCUUGAAAUACCACCCUUUAAUGUUUGAUGUUCUAACGUUGGCCCCUGACCGGGGUUGCGGACAGUGUCUGGUGGGUAGUUUGACUGGGGCGGUCUCCUCCCAAAGCGUAACGGAGGAGCACGAAGGUUAGCUAAUCCUGGUCGGACAUCAGGAGGUUAGUGCAAUGGCAUAAGCUAGCUUGACUGCGAGCGUGACGGCGCGAGCAGGUGCGAAAGCAGGUCAUAGUGAUCCGGUGGUUCUGAAUGGAAGGGCCAUCGCUCAACGGAUAAAAGGUACUCCGGGGAUAACAGGCUGAUACCGCCCAAGAGUUCAUAUCGACGGCGGUGUUUGGCACCUCGAUGUCGGCUCAUCACAUCCUGGGGCUGAAGUAGGUCCCAAGGGUAUGGCUGUUCGCCAUUUAAAGUGGUACGCGAGCUGGGUUUAGAACGUCGUGAGACAGUUCGGUCCCUAUCUGCCGUGGGCGCUGGAGAAUUGAGGGGGGCUGCUCCUAGUACGAGAGGACCGGAGUGGACGCAUCACUGGUGUUCGGGUUGUCAUGCCAAUGGCACUGCCCGGUAGCUAAAUGCGGAAGAGAUAAGUGCUGAAAGCAUCUAAGCACGAAACUUGCCCCGAGAUGAGUUCUCCCUGAGACUUUAAGUCUCCUGAAGGAACGUUAAAGACGAUGACGUUGAUAGGCCGGGUGUGUAAGCGCAGCGAUGCGUUGAGCUAACCGGUACUAAUGAACCGUGAGGCUUAACCUU
rnacentral:rRNA from 1 species